GACGAACGCUGGCGGCGUGCUUAACACAUGCAAGUCGAACGGAAAGGCCCUGCUUUUGUGGGGUGCUCGAGUGGCGAACGGGUGAGUAACACGUGAGUAACCUGCCCUUGACUUUGGGAUAACUUCAGGAAACUGGGGCUAAUACCGGAUAGGAGCUCCUGCUGCAUGGUGGGGGUUGGAAAGUUUCGGCGGUUGGGGAUGGACUCGCGGCUUAUCAGCUUGUUGGUGGGGUAGUGGCGUACCAACUGAUUGAAUGGUAGCCGGCCUGGGAGGGUGGCCAGGGUCCAGGGUCCUGCGGGAGGCACCAGUGGGCAAUAGUGGACAAUAGGGGGAAGUCUGAUACAGCCAUACCGAGUGGGUGAAGACGGCCCUCGGGUCGUAAAGACGUUUUUCUGGGUAAGAACCGCAUUAGCCUAUGACGACGCUGUAGUGACGGUAAUCGAUGAAUAAGCACCGGCUAACUACGUG
rnacentral:rRNA from 1 species